CGGACGGGUGAGUAACGCGUGGGCAACCUGCCCAAAAGAGGGGGAUAACACUUGGAAACAGGUGCUAAUACCGCAUAACCAUAGUUACCGCAUGGUAACUAUGUAAAAGGUGGCUAUGCUACCGCUUUUGGAUGGGCCCGCGGCGCAUUAGCUAGUUGGUGGGGUAAAGGCUUACCAAGGCAAUGAUGCGUAGCCGAACUGAGAGGUUGAUCGGCCACAUUGGGACUGAGACACGGCCCAAACUCCUACGGAAGGCAGCAG
rnacentral:rRNA from 1 species